rnacentral:rRNA from 1 species
GAUGAACGCUGGCGGCGUGCCUAACACAUGCAAGUCGAGCGAACAGAUAAGGAGCUUGCUCCUUUGACGUUAGCGGCGGACGGGUGAGUAACACGUGGGUAACCUACCUAUAAGACUGGGAUAACUUCGGGAAACCGGAGCUAAUACCGGAUAAUAUUUCGAACCGCAUGGUUCGAUAGUGAAAGAUGGUUUUGCUAUCACUUAUAGAUGGACCCGCGCCGUAUUAGCUAGUUGGUAAGGUAACGGCUUACCAAGGCGACGAUACGUAGCCGACCUGAGAGGGUGAUCGGCCACACUGGAACUGAGACACGGUCCAGACUCCUACGGGAGGCAGCAGUAGGGAAUCUUCCGCAAUGGGCGAAAGCCUGACGGAGCAACGCCGCGUGAGUGAUGAAGGUCUUCGGAUCGUAAAACUCUGUUAUUAGGGAAGAACAUACGUGUAAGUAACUGUGCACGUCUUGACGGUACCUAAUCAGAAAGCCACGGCUAACUACGUG